UACAGAGGGUGCGAGCGUUACUCGGAAUUACUGGGCGUAAAGCGUGCGUAGACGGCUAUCUAAGUCGGGUGUGAAAGCCCCGGGCUCAACCUGGGAAUUGCAUUCGAGACUGAAUAGCUAGGGUACGGUAGAGGGAAGUGGAAUUUACGGUGUAGCGGUGAAAUGCGUAGAUAUCGUAAGGAAGACCAGUGGCGAAGGCGGGUCUCUGGACAGUUCCUGACGCUGAGGCACGAAGGGCAGGGGAGCAAACGGG
rnacentral:rRNA from 1 species